rnacentral:rRNA from 1 species
GAUCAUGGCUCAGGAUGAACGCUGACAGAAUGCUUAACACAUGCAAGUCAACUUGAACUUCGGUUUGGGUGGCGGACGGGUGAGUAACGCGUAAAGAACUUGCCUCACAGCUAGGGACAACAUUUGGAAACGAAUGCUAAUACCUGAUAUUAUAAUUUUAGGGCAUCCUAGGAUUAUGAAAGCUAUAUGCGCUGUGAGAGAGCUUUGCGUCCCAUUAGCUAGUUGGAGAGGU